GCUAUUUUGAAAUGACAGUGGGUGAUGUCAUAGAGGGUGACUGAGAUCAAGGGCUGGCCGGGCAGAAAAUCCUCUCUGGAUGACACUGGUCUUGAGACCUCAAUUCUAUCUCCUCUGUAAGGAACACUAAAAAGAAGCAAGUUGUAGUGUUCUCCAUUCUCUGAGCAUCUAUAAUGACAGGUCCUGCCUACUUUAACUUCAUAUGCUUUAUUUACAUGCCAUAGAUAUUUUUAAGGAUAAUGAAUAAAACAUCUAAAGACCCAGAUGUUUGAAAAGUAGGUGCUUGUCUCCAUGGACAGUCAUCCCAAAUGAAGGCACCAGCAGGACAGGAGGGAAGAAGUAAAGAGGGACAUUAUUGCUGCAGUCCAACAUCCUCCCAGGCCCUCCAGGCAGUUCAGACUUCAGACACCCAUGUCCUGUCAUCAGUCAACUUCAGGAAAUUUUUCAAAAUUGCUGCCCAAUCUGCAAGGACAGAAGUGUUAUCAAACUUUGCCAUGUUUCAUAAUGAGUUGUGUAAAACAUCUCUGCCCUACUCACUUCUAAGGAACUGCUUCAUGUCAUCUGUGUUACUGUGACAGCCAGACUGCAUGCUGCUCAAAGGAGUCAUUCAAUAAAUAUUCAUCAAGUGAAUAAAUAAAUAUUUGUUGGUGAUAAUUAACUUGAACUGAGAACCUCAUGGCCUCCAAGACAGGUUCUGAAUUGUAUAAACGGAGCAUUGCUCUCUUUUUUCCCUUAUUACUCUUUACAGCUGUUUCAUAACACCGCCUGCCAGGAACUGCUCCCAACUCCCAUUAGUAAAUUAUUAAGUGCUAGAAGAGCAGCAGUGCCUUGUGUGAUUAAGAACUGGGUGAAACUGUGAAGGAGGGAAGCCCCCUUUUGCUCCUAGUUUUAGAGGUGAGAACUAUAGACUUUAUUUUUGUGCUGCUUCUAUCACAAGCCAGUAUGAUUCAAAUGAUAAAUUUUGGAACUGUGUUUUCUGCUUCCCUCUUCUCCCCCUGCUCCCCAUCUUCCACUUGAGCUACUUUUGAUUCACACACCUAGAAUAAUGUACAAGAGAAAACAGGGUCUCAGUUUCUUAUCUGGAACUGGGAGCUGCUCUAAAACAAGAUUCCACAUUGCUGACUUGUAUUCAUUUAUCAACUGUAUGGAAUGAGUGGAGAAAGAGAGGGUCUAUUGGUCAUGUUUCUUCUUAAAAUGUGAGAUCAAUAUUAUUAUAUAUACAAUCAAUUAGUGAGAAUCCUCCUGAUGUUCUUCUAAAUUGCUUGUUACCUCCCAGAGAUGUUGUUAGAUAUCCUCUAUACAAGGUCCACAUAGCAAAAAGACUUUUUGUGGGGAAAAUUCCAAAUUUAGCUCUCAAGUACGUAGACAUUCACUUAAAUGAUUUCAACUGAAUUCCCAUGAAUCCCAGCAACUUUUCCUCAACUCUGUGAACUUCAGACUGACUGUGAAUUGAUAAUUUUUAAAGUUGGGUGACAGG
rnacentral:lncRNA from 1 species